CAUGUCUAAGUACAAGCCUCACUAAGGUGAAACCGCGAAUGGCUCAUUAAAUCACACCUAAUGUACUGGACAGUCUCAGUUACUUGGAUAACUGCGGUAAUUCUGGAGCUAAUACAUGCCUAGCCGCGACUCACGGAGCGGUGCUUUUAUUAGAUCAAAACCAAACGGCCUCGAGCCGUCCCCCUGGUGAUUCUGAAUAACUUUGGGCUGAUCGCACGGACUCCGGCGACGUGUAGCUUCAAGGUGUGCCCUAUCAACUGUCGACUGUGGCAUAGACGCCCACAGUGGUUUUGACGGGUAACGGGGAAUUAGGGUUCGAUUCCGGAGAGGGAGCCUGAGAAACGGCUACCACUUCUACGGAAGGCAGCAGGCACGCAAAUUACCCACUGGCCGAAGGCCGAGGUAGUGACGAAAAAUAACGAUACCGGACUCAUCCGAGGCCCGGUAAUCGGAAUGAGUACACUUUAAAUCCUUUAACGAGGAACAAUUGGAGGGCAAGUCUGGUGCCAGCAGCCGCGGUAAUUCCAGCUCCAAUAGCGUAUAUUAAAGUUGUUGCGGUUAAAAAGCUCGUAGUUGGAUCUCGGCGGGCAGGGGGUGGUUCGCUCUUCAGCGCUACUGCCCCGCUUUGCCCGUGUGAUUGGCGGAGGUUUCGGGGUGCUCUUCGUUGAGUGACUCGGAGCGCCGUCAGGUUUACUUUGAAAAAAUUAGAGUGCUCAAAGCAGGCUUUUCACGCUUGAAUAUUCGUGCAUGGAAUAAUGGAAUAGGAACUCUCUAUUUUGUUGGUUUUGGCAAUCGAGUUAAUGAUUAACAGGGACAAUUGGGGGCAUUAGUAUUCAGACGACAGAGGUGAAAUUCUUGGACCGUCUGAAGACUGACUACUGCGAAAGCAUUUGCCAAGAGUGUUUUCAUUAAUCAAGAACGAAAGUUAGAGGUUCGAAGGCGAUCAGAUACCGCCCUAGUUCUAACCAUAAACGAUGCCAGCUAGCGAUCUGCCGAGUUUUUUUUGUAGGCUCCGCAGGAAGCUUUCGGGAAACCAAAGCUUUUGGGUUCCGGGGGAAGUAUGGUUGCAAAGCUGAAACUUAAAGGAAUUGACGGAAGGGCACCACCAGGAGUGGAGCCUGCGGCUUAAUUUGACUCAACACGGGAAGCAUCACCAGGCCCGGACACUGGAAGGAUUGACAGAUUGAGAGCUUCUCGAUUCGGUGGGUGGUGGUGCAUGGCCGUUCUUAUGGUGGAGUGAUUUGUCUGGUUAAUUCCGAUAACGAACGAGACUCUGUCCUGCUAAAUAGUUGGGUCGUCCUUCGUGCGAUCCAAGUUCUUCUUAGAGGGACUGGCUGCGUCUAGCAGCACGAGAUUGAGCAAUAACAGGUCUGUGAUGCCCUUAGAUGUUCUGGGCCGCACGCGCGCUACACUGAAGGGAUCAGCGUGUUCUCCCUUUGAGAGGAACGGGUAACCCGCUGAACCCCCUUCGUGGUAGGGAUCGGUUCGAGCAAUUGUUCUCCGUGAACCAGGAAUUCCCAGUAAGCGCAAGUCAUAAGCUUCGUUGAUUACGUCCCUGCUUUGUACACACCGCCCGUCGCUACUACCGAUUGAACGUUUUAGUGAGGUAUUUGGACUGGGCCUUGGAGGAUUCGUUCUCCCAUGUUGCUCGGGAAGACUCCCAAACGAGCGUUAGAGGAA
rnacentral:rRNA from 1 species